rnacentral:rRNA from 1 species
GCUCAGAUUGAACGCUGGCGGCAGGCCUAACACAUGCAAGUCGAGCGGUAGCACAGAGAGCUUGCUCUCGGGUGACGAGCGGCGGACGGGUGAGUAAUGUCUGGGAAACUGCCUGAUGGAGGGGGAUAACUACUGGAAACGGUAGCUAAUACCGCAUAACGUCGCAAGACCAAAGUGGGGGACCUUCGGGCCUCAUGCCAUCAGAUGUGCCCAGAUGGGAUUAGCUAGUAGGUGGGGUAACGGCUCACCUAGGCGACGAUCCCUAGCUGGUCUGAGAGGAUGACCAGCCACACUGGAACUGAGACACGGUCCAGACUCCUACGGGAGGCAGCAGUGGGGAAUAUUGCACAAUGGGCGCAAGCCUGAUGCAGCCAUGCCGCGUGUGUGAAGAAGGCCUUCGGGUUGUAAAGCACUUUCAGCGGGGAGGAAGGCGNUAAGGUUAAUAACCUUGNCGAUUGACGUUACCCGCAGAAGAAGCACCGGCUAACUCCGUGCCAGCAGCCGCGGUAAUACGGAGGGUGCAAGCGUUAAUCGGAAUUACUGGGCGUAAAGCGCACGCAGGCGGUCUGUCAAGUCGGAUGUGAAAUCCCCGGGCUCAACCUGGGAACUGCAUUCGAAACUGGCAGGCUAGAGUCUUGUAGAGGGGGGUAGAAUUCCAGGUGUAGCGGUGAAAUGCGUAGAGAUCUGGAGGAAUACCGGUGGCGAAGGCGGCCCCCUGGACAAAGACUGACGCUCAGGUGCGAAAGCGUGGGGAGCAAACAGGAUUAGAUACCCUGGUAGUCCACGCCGUAAACGAUGUCGAUUUGGAGGUUGUGCCCUUGAGGCGUGGCUUCCGGAGCUAACGCGUUAAAUCGACCGCCUGGGGAGUACGGCCGCAAGGUUAAAACUCAAAUGAAUUGACGGGGGCCCGCACAAGCGGUGGAGCAUGUGGUUUAAUUCGAUGCAACGCGAAGAACCUUACCUGGUCUUGACAUCCACAGAACUUUCCAGAGAUGGAUUGGUGCCUUCGGGAACUGUGAGACAGGUGCUGCAUGGCUGUCGUCAGCUCGUGUUGUGAAAUGUUGGGUUAAGUCCCGCAACGAGCGCAACCCUUAUCCUUUGUUGCCAGCGGUNCGGCCGGGAACUCAAAGGAGACUGCCAGUGAUAAACUGGAGGAAGGUGGGGAUGACGUCAAGUCAUCAUGGCCCUUACGACCAGGGCUACACACGUGCUACAAUGGCAUAUACAAAGAGAAGCGACCUCGCGAGAGCAAGCGGACCUCAUAAAGUAUGUCGUAGUCCGGAUUGGAGUCUGCAACUCGACUCCAUGAAGUCGGAAUCGCUAGUAAUCGUAGAUCAGAAUGCUACGGUGAAUACGUUCCCGGGCCUUGUACACACCGCCCGUCACACCAUGGGAGUGGGUUGCAAAAGAAGUAGGUAGCUUAACCUUCGGGAGGGCGCUUACCACUUUGUGAUUCAUGACUGG